rnacentral:rRNA from 1 species
UACGGAGGGGGCAAGCGUUAUUCGGAAUUAUUGGGCGUAAAGGGCGCGUAGGCGGCUAGAUGUGUCAAAGGUGAAAUCCCUCGGCUCAACUGAGGAACUGCCUUUGAAACUGUCUGGCUUGAGGCCGGGAGAGGGUAGCGGAAUUCCCAGUGUAGCGGUGAAAUGCGUAGAUAUCAGGAGGAACACCGAUGGCGAAGGCAGGUCUCUGGGCUGACACUGACGCUCAUGCACGAAAGCGUGGGGAGCAAACAGG